UAUAAUGUUUUGACUCUUCGUUUUAUUUAAAUUUUUUUGCAAUUAAUAUUUUUAUUUUUAUUAGAUGAUAAAACAUAAAUAAUAUUUUAUGUGAGACUAAUUUUUUUAAAUUUUUUAUAAAUUUUUCAAAUAAGACGAAUGGUCAAACGUUGGACAUGGAAAAAUAC
rnacentral:pre_miRNA from 1 species